rnacentral:rRNA from 1 species
UACGUAGGGGGCGAGCGUUGUUCGGAAUUACUGGGCGUAAAGAGUGUGUAGGCGGUGUUCUAAGUUUGUCGUGAAAUCUCCCGGCUUAACUGGGAGGGUGCGGCGAAAACUGGAAUGCUAGAGGAUGGGAGAGGUAAGCGGAAUUCCUGGUGUAGCGGUGAAAUGCGUAGAUAUCAGGAGGAACACCUGUGGUGUAGACAGCUUACUGGACCAUUUCUGACGCUGAGACACGAAAGCGUGGGUAGCAAACAGG